rnacentral:rRNA from 1 species
GACGAACGUUGGCGGCGUGCUUAAUACAUGCAAGUCAACUGAAGCAGUGGUAGCAAUAUCGCUGUGGAGGUGGCGCACGGGUGAGUAACACGUAGGUAAUCUGCCUUCAGGUCUGGCAUAACUCCGGGAAACCGGGGCUAAAAGCAGAUGAUGCAGCGGCUCGACAUCGAGACAGUUGUUAAAGCUAUGGCGCCUGAAGAUGAGCCUGCGUCUGAUUAGCUAGUUGGCGGGGUAACGGCCCACCAAGGCAACGAUCAGUAGCUGGUCUGAGAGGAUGAUCAGCCACACUGGAACUGAGACACGGUCCAGACUCCUACGGGAGGCAGCAGUAAGGAAUAUUGCUCAAUGGGAGAAAUCCUGAAGCAGCAACGCCGCGUGAGGGACGAAGGGCUUUUGCUUGUAAACCUCUGUAGUGAGAGAAAAAAAUCCCAAUCUUUGGGACAUGAUGGUAUCUCAAAAGUAAGCCCCGGCUAACUACGUG